AUUGAACGCUGGCGGCAGGCUUAACACAUGCAAGUCGAGCGAGCGGCGGACGGGUGAGUAAUGUAUGGGAAACUGCCUGAUGGAGGGGGAUAACUACUGGAAACGGUAGCUAAUACCGCAUACCAUCAGAUGUACCCAGAUGGGAAUAGCUAGUAGGUGGGGUAAUGGCUCACCUAGGCGACGAGCCCUAGCUGGUCUUAUAGGAUGACCAGCCACACUGGAACUGAGACACGGGCCAGACUCCUACGGGAGGCAGCAGUGGGGAAUAUUGCACAAUGGGCGCAAGCCUGAUGCAGCCAUGCUGCGUGUAUGAAGAAGGCCUGCGGGUUGUAAAGUACUUUCAGCGAGGAGGCGUUACUCACAGAAGAAGCACCGGCUAACUCCGUGCCAGCCGCCGCGGUAAUAC
rnacentral:rRNA from 1 species